UUGAUUUAUUUGCUUGUGCCACUCAGAUAAUACAUGUAAUACACAAUGGUUUUUGGCCUCCGGCGGGCGCCUGGUCCGGGCACGAGGGCACCGGGGCGUAUCCGCCGAAGCAACGACUGGUAAGUUCACAGGGGUUUGGGAGUUGUAAACUCGGUAAUGAUCCCUCCGCUGGUUCACCAACGGAGA
rnacentral:misc_RNA from 1 species